UCGCACUGCUAAGUGACCUGACUGUCUCUUUCGUGACCUUCUGGUCUCAUUCCAGUGCAAGAUAAACUCCCUUCUAGCAGAAGGGCCUGCCUUCUUCCCAAAGGCCUGGUCCUUUCGAAGGCUGGGUACAACG